CAGCUGCCACCCCUUGCCACCCCGGUGGUUUCGCCACUGGUGUGUACCGUGUUUAAUACAUCCUGCUCAGAACGCAUUUUGAACGGUAGCGCAACCACAAGAUGUCGCUUUCAUAGUUGAAGACCUAUGGCAACCUACGCAUUUCCACCAGACUGUAUGGUAACAUGUGAGUGCUGGUACCGCCUACCUCAAAUACUCACCGACUUUGACAACGAGUGGCUACUUUGCUUAAAGGUGCGUUGGACGUUUCGACAGGGCUUCUUGAUAGAAGACUACACCGAGAAUGAAUUUAUGGGGUGAUGCUGCAGCUCUGCUGCUCCUGACAGCAGUGUGUCUGAGUUUCUGUGCGGAGGCCCUGGAGAAGGUGGAGGCCCGGUGCCAUUCUAACGUCAGCCUCCCCUGUGAUGCUCACAGCCAGAACUACCGCUCUCUCACCUGGUACAAGGUAGCCACUCUGACUUACCGUCUGGUCAUCAGAUGUAACUCUGUGUCAGUGUGACUGGUCAUCAGAUGUGGGAGGUCUUUGUGAUGUUCUCUCCUGUGGUUCUCUGAUGUGUGAGGUCUUUGUGAUGUUCUCUCCUGUGGUUCUCUGAUGUGUGAGGUCUUUGUGAUGUUCUCUCCUGUGGUUCUCUGAUGUGUGAGGUCUUUGUGAUGUUCUCUGAUGUGUGAGGUCUUUGUGAUGUUCUCUGAUGUGUGAUGUUCUGUUCCGCGGUUCUCUUAGCUGCACAGCCGGACGAGUAUCCUCAAGAGGAAGGGGGGUAAUAUCACCACAUAUGAUUACCCCCGUGCAGUUGCCCUUGGGCCUCAGGGGGAGCUGAUCCUGCCCCGUGUUACCCCCGAUGACUCGGGCACCUUCGAGUGCCUCCGGAAGGCAAACGUUGGGGGGCAGAACCAGGAGUCAAUCAUUAACCUCUCUGUUACAGCCUGCAUUCGGCCCACGGAGGUGAUGCCCACGCCCAGCCUGCUGCCUGCUCUAGAGGGCCCCCUGCUGGAGGGGAUGGUGGUGGUGCACGCAGGCUGGGCCUUCCUUGGCUUCAGCUCCCUCAGCCUCCUCAAAAUCAUCCUCUGCUUCGUGUCCGUCAAGGUCUUUGCCAAGGUCAGAUGCUCCAGGAAUCAGCGGCUGGGAAGCCAAAGGUCACAGAGUUCACGGAGAGAGAUGCAGGCCGAGC
rnacentral:lncRNA from 1 species